rnacentral:rRNA from 1 species
AUUGAACGCUGGCGGCAGGCUUAACACAUGCAGUCGAGCGAGCGGCGGACGGGUGAGUAAUGUCUGGGAAACUGCCUGAUGGAGGGGGAUAACUACUGGAAACGGUAGCUAAUACCGCAUAACAUCAGAUAGGCCCAGAUGGGAUUAGCUAGUAGGUGGGGUAAUUGCUCACGUAGGCGACGCUCCCUAGCUGGUCUGAACGGAUGACCAGCCACACUGGAACUUAUACACGGUCCAGACUCCUACGGGAGGCAGCAGUGGGGAAUCUUGCACUAUGGGCGAAAGCCUAAUUCAGUCAUGCCGCGUGUGUGAAGAAGGCCUUCGGGUUGUAAAGCAAUUUCAGCGAGGAGGCGUUACUCGCAGAAGAAGCACCGGCUAACUCCGUGCCAGCAGCCGCGGUAAUAC